CUGCAGGAACGGAGACUUGGUGACCUUUUCUGGCACUGAUGAGGCCUGGGCCUUUUCCUGAGUCCUACAUAUGUAAUUGCUCCGUGAAUGCCCACCUAAGCCAAGGGUGCACAUUGCUAUCCCCGGCUGGCCACUAAGGCCACUGAGAUACUUAGAGGUCAUGUGACUUCUCCAAACACACAUUCAGUAAGGGCAAGGGAGCGGAUGCAGACAUAGUUCUCCCCAUGACCAGCUGUGGGAACCCCUACACCCUGGGGUUGGACGAGGCUGGUGGGGAAAGGCAGGUGUGGAAGGAGUCAUGGUGGGAAAACCUACAACUGGACGUGGCCUCCUCACAGGAGAACUGAGUGUCAGAAGCCUGGUUUAGGAUUGGGAUUUAGGGAGAAUGGGCUUAGAAACGGCUGCAGAAGCUACCUGGAGUGUGAGAAGAAAAAUGCUUUCAAGUGUCCUUGCACCGAGGAGUACAGAUCCUUGGAGGAGAAAAGGAUCCAAGGAACGAGGCCAGGACAUGCUCUGGAGAUGCUGUGGAAUGAGCGUGAACGUGAGCACUGUUCAGGAAGCCAUGCCCCGGGGUAGAAGCUGUGUCAAGUUCCUGGUCUGAGGCAAAGCAGUGUCUAUUGGGUCAACAGUGGGACACGCUGGUGGGCUGAUGAGUUGCUUCACGGAAGCCAGACCUCGUGUGGACACAAGGAAGAGAUUAGCAGACUGAAUUUGACCUUGGACAUUUGCCUUCUCAGCCCUCAGUGCUGGCCUGACUCUCAGCUCAGCUCUCUCCUUUCUUCUCUGGGGAGUCAGUGCCUACCCUUGGCAUCUGUUUUCCCUCCUACCUCCUGACCACUGAGAUAGGAGCCAUUUAUCAAUUCCCCUCCACAGAGUGUCCGAUUCUAUUGCUAAAAUAUUACCAUUCUCAGCUGAAUAGAUUUCCUUGGCAGGUUCUGGCCUCUUUUGGUUAAAGGGGGAAAGUCGCAUUUUUCUACCUAAUCCUGUUGUGAAAUGUUCCCCUUCGUUCGACAUGUUCAUUCAGAUAACACCUCUCGGCCUUCCCAUUUCUCACUCCUAAUCUUUUAUUUCUCUUUUCCAAGAUUUAUAACUUACAUAUGCAUCUGUCUCUCUCUUUAAAUUUAUUGCAGUGCCUCCUUCUCUUUCCUAUCACACCUUUGCAUCUGCCCCACCUGCUCGUCAUGAGUCCUUGGUGGAGCUCAGAGGCACUGGUGCGUGCUCUGCUAUACCCUCCUCUCCUUGGCCCUGUACAAUCCAUCAUUCGAUCAAAAUGCACCACCUUCUAAAAUGUCUUCAAUCUGGGAUGCCUGGGUGGC